GGCUCACUUCCUAUGUGGAGGCCCAGUCCACAGUGAAAUUAGGUUAGGUCCCUUUUGCUUUUCAUUCUUUCAAUGGAUGAGUGAGUGCAGUCAAGGUGCAAGAGAGAGAGCAGAGAGAUCCAUCCAGAAACUCUUGGAGAGAGCCAACAGUGUGCCAUCCAUAGAGAGUGAUAUAGAGAGUGAAAUAGAGAGUGAUAGUGAAGCAGAGAAAAGGAG
rnacentral:lncRNA from 1 species